AAGUCGUAACAAGGUUUCCGUAGGUGUACCUGCGGAAGGAUCAUUAACACGUAUCCAAACGUUAAAACCCCCCCGUGAACCUUCAUCCUGCUCUUGUAACAUAGCCCGGGAAUUUGUAGUGCUUCAGAGACCUCUGGCUACGUGCGAACAUUGGAACAGUUACAAUGUAGUUCUAUAGGCAAUGUUUCCCCAAGCAGUCAGUGUCGGAAAGUGUCAUUGAUUGUGCAAGGAUAGCGCUUCUGUAGACCGUACACUCGGGCAGGAGCUUUGCCAAAGGGUCCCCAUGCCCCAAAUAACCCCACAGUUUAAUGUGAAGCUCAAUGUAAUACAUUGGGUAGGAAAACCGAACAACUGUUAACAAUGGAUAUCUUGGUUCUC
rnacentral:misc_RNA from 1 species